rnacentral:rRNA from 1 species
AGCCCAAUCCUAGCCCGCCCCCCCCCCCCCAGUAACAAACAAACUUCCCCCGCUAACUAAAACAUUCAACACACCUAGUAUAGGCGAUAGAAAAGUUAACCUCUCCCCGGCGCUAUAGAAAGCUUUGUACCGUAAGGGAAAGAUGAAAUAGCAAUGAAACACCCAAGCACAAAACAGCAAAGAUUAACCCUUGUACCUUUUGCAUCAUGGUCCAGCAAGAAACAACCAAGCAAAGCGACCUUAAGCUUGCCACCCCGAAACCCGAGCGAGCUACUUACAAGCAGCUAACAUCUGAGCUAACCCAUCUCUGUAGCAAAAGAGUGGGAUGACUUGUUAGUAGAGGUGAAAAGCCAAACGAGCCGAGUGAUAGCUGGUUGCCUGUGAAAUGAAUCUAAGUUCACCCCUGACCUCUCCACACAAGGCUCCCUCACCCCGACGAACCCCCAUGAAGCAAGUCAGGAGUUAUUUAAAGGAGGUACAGCUCCUUUAAAAAAGAAUACAGCCUCCAACAGCGGAUAACCAUAUUCUCUUAACCAACUGUUGGCCUUUAAGCAGCCAUCAACAAAGAGUGCGUCAAAGCUCCUAACAAAAAAAUUCCACGACCCCCCCCCGCGAAUCCCUUCCCACUAACAGGCCAACCUAUCCCGAUAGGAGGAUCAAUGCUGAAAUAAGUAACUAGGGAAUCCCCUCUCAAGCGCAAACUUACAUCUCUCAUUAUUACUCAAUACAUGAUACCCCCACCCAACAAGCACACCCUAUCCUAAUCGACUUUGUUACACCAACCCAGGAGCGCAACAAUAGAAAGACUCAAAUCUGUAGAAGGAACUAGGCAAACACAAGGCCCGACUGUUUACCAAAAACAUAGCCUUCAGCGUACCAAGUAUUGAAGGUGAUGCCUGCCCAGUGACCCCACCACGUUCAACGGCCGCGGUAUCCUAACCGUGCAAAGGUAGCGCAAUCAAUUGUCCCAUAAAUCGAGACUUGUAUGAAUGGCUAAACGAGGUCUUAACUGUCUCCUACAGACAAUCAGUGAAAUUGAUCUCCCCGUGCAAAAGCAGGGAUAGAACCAUAAGACGAGAAGACCCUGUGGAACUUAAAAAUCGCAGUCACCGCCCAACCCUAUCCAAACCUACCAGGCCCUCCCCAUCCUGCACACACUGACCUGCAUUUUUUGGCUGGGGCGGCCCUGGAGCAAAACAAAACCUCCAGACACAAGACCCUGUUCUUGACCAAGAGCAACCCCUCAACGUACUAACAGUCACCAGACCCAGCAUGACUGACCAAUGAACCAAGCUACCCCAGGGAUAACAGCGCAAUCCCCUUCAAGAGCCCAUAUCGACAAGGGGGUUUACGACCUCGAUGUUGGAUCAGGACAUCCUAAUGGUGCAACCGCUAUUAAGGGUUCGUUUGUUCAACGAUUAACAGUCCUACGUGAUCUGAGUUCAGACCGGAGCAAUCCAGGUCGGUUUCUAUCUAUGACAGACUUUUCCUAGUACGAAAGGACCGGAAAAAUAAGGCCCCUACUCCAAGCACGCCUUCACCCCAAGCAAUGAACUCAACUGAAUUGCCUAAAGGACUAAACACCUCCAUCCUAAAAAAGGAAAG